UACGAAGGGGGCUAGCGUUGCUCGGAAUUACUGGGCGUAAAGAGCUCGUAGGCGGCCAACUAAGUCAGACGUGAAAUCCCUCAGCUUAACUGGGGAACUGCGUCUGAUACUGGAUGGCUUGGAUUCGGGAGAGGAAUGCGGAAUUCCAGGUGUAGCGGUGAAAUGCGUAGAUAUCUGGAGGAACACCGGUGGCGAAGGCGGCAUUCUGGACCGACAUUGACGCUGAGGAGCGAAAGCCAGGGGAGCAAACGGG
rnacentral:rRNA from 1 species